rnacentral:snRNA from 1 species
ACACUCUGGCACUAGUCACUACGAACAAAUCCUUCGCCUUUUACGAAGGAUUACCAUGCAGAGUAGCAUUUUAACCAGUCCAACUCAAUUUUUCCAGCCCUACCCUGUAGGGU